rnacentral:sRNA from 1 species
UAAAGUUGUGACCUUCUCCACAGAUGGAGCA